GGGGGUAUAGCUUAGUGUAGAGCAUGUGCUUAGCAUGUGUGAGACCCUGGGUUCAGUCCCCAGUACCUCCA
rnacentral:tRNA from 1 species